rnacentral:rRNA from 1 species
UACGUAGGGUGCAAGCGUUGUCCGGAAUUAUUGGGCGUAAAGAGCUCGUAGGCGGUCUGUCGCGUCUGCUGUGAAAACUGGAGGCUUAACCUCCAGCGGUCGAUGGAAACCAUCUGGCUAGAGUCCGGAAGAGGAGAGUGGAAUUCCUGGUGUAGCGGUGAAAUGCGCAGAUAUCAGGAAGAACACCCGUGGCGAAGGCGGCUCUCUGGGACGGUACUGACGCUGAGACGCGAAAGCGUGGGGAGCAAACAGG